rnacentral:rRNA from 1 species
CCUACGGGUGGCAGCAGUGAGGAAUAUUGGUCAAUGGCCGGAAGGCUGAACCAGCCAUGCCGCGUGAAGGUCAGUGCCCUAUGGGCGUUAAACUUCUUUUGUGCGGGAGCAAUAAUGGUCACGUGUGGCCAGACGAGAGUACCGUACGAAUAAGCAUCGGCUAACUCCGUGCUAGCAGCCGCGGUAAUACGGGGGAUGCAAGCGUUAUGCGGAUUUAUUGGGUUUAAAGGGUGCGUAGGCUGGGAGGUAAGUCAGCGGUGAAAUGGCCCCGCUCAAGGGGGUGAAGUGCCAUUGAUACUGCCUAGCUGGAAUGCGGAUGCCGUGGGAGGAAUGUGUGGUGUAGCGGUGAAAUGCAUAGAUAUCACACAGAACACCGAUUGCGAAGGCAUCUCACGAAUCCGCGAUUGACGCUGAUGCACGAAAGCGUGGGUAUCAAACAGGAUUAGAUACCCCUGUAGUC